GUUAUAUGGUCAAGUGACUAAGCGCAUACGGUGGAUGCCUAGGCGGUAGAAGGCGAUGAAGGACGUGGUAGUCUGCGAUAAGCCUCGGGGAGUCGACAAACUGGCUUUGAUCCGAGGAUUUCCGAAUGGGGAAACCCACCUCUUUGAGGUAUCAACAUCUGAAUAGAUAGGGUGUUGAAGCGAACCCGGGGAACUGAAACAUCUAAGUACCCGGAGGAAAAGAAAUCAACCGAGAUUCCCUCAGUAGCGGCGAGCGAACGGGGAUCAGCCCUUAAGCUGAUUAUUGGUUAGUGGAACGCUCUGGAAAGUGCGGCCAUAGUGGGUGAUAGCCCCGUACAUUAAAACCAGUUUUCAGUGAAAACGAGUAGGGCGGGACACGUGUUAUCCUGUCUGAAUAUGGGGGGACCAUCCUCCAAGGCUAAAUACUCUCUACCGACCGAUAGUGAACCAGUACCGUGAGGGAAAGGCGAAAAGAACCCCGGCGAGGGGAGUGAAAUAGAACCUGAAACCGUAUGCGUACAAGCAGUGGGAGCCCCUUUAGGGGGGUGACUGCGUACCUUUUGUAUAAUGGGUCAGCGACUUACUUUCAGUGGCAAGGUUAACCGUUUAGGGGAGCCGUAGGGAAACCGAGUCUUAAUAGGGCGUUCAGUCGCUGGGAGUAGACCCGAAACCGGGCGAUCUAUCCAUGGCCAGGUUGAAGGUGGGGUAACACCCACUGGAGGACCGAACCG
rnacentral:rRNA from 1 species